UUUGUGCUCUUUGCUUUCUCUUACAUUUGAAUUGGUGAAGUCUUGCCUGACUGUUUCAAAAGGUUUGUCAAGCCUUGUAUGAUAACUAAGAUGUCCUCACCUGGAGAUGAUGAGCGGGCAGAAACUACAUCGAGUUAGAGGACUUGUGAUUCCUGUUCAGUGGUGUUUCUUGUGAAAAGCCCAUCAGAGCCAUGCUCUGGAGUCUGCCCAAGCUCCAGUUUACUGAAGCUCUUCUGCAGUGAUCCUGGUUUUCUCAUAAGUUCUGGGAGACUGGAAGGUUCUACAAUGGCAGGAUCCGAGGAACCCUGAGAGAGGAGACUUGAAAGCUCUUGGAUCAUGGAUAAUUUCAUUGAUUUCCAUAAAGUUAACUUCAUGUUUGAACGUGGAAGAAACCUUGCUUUGAUACUUGAAACAAGAUGGUUUUGAGCCACAGAAUGUGUGUAUGAAACCUAAGUUCCUACAGUUUGAUGCCCUUCGUCCUCUUUAACACCCCAUUGAGGCAAAAGUCUGGUAAACUACUCUAGACACCGGAUUUCCAUGUGUGCUGAUCAGCCAGCCAGUUGCUAGCAGCGUUCACAGCAGCUGAGUUUAGCCUGCUUUUCCUUCCUUGACAAUAGCUAUGAGGAUAGGGUUGUCCGUGAAAAUUAAUUUCCUGAAAAUUGGCUUUGGGGUUAAAAAAAAUGGCUGGUGCAGAAGAAACCACAGACAGAUGAACAGAUUGUAUAAUCAAAACAUGUAAUUUUUUUUUAGGAAACCUGCUAAAAUUGAGUAAUUUGGAUAGAAACCAGAAAGCACAAUGAAUUGGACCUCAGCAGUUUUCUGGCUCCUAUGCUCUAUGUCAGAGGCUAAAAUUGGUAUUUGGGAGUCCUGCUUUCCUGGGGAAUUUUUCAGAUGGAUAACAGCCAGCACCACAACCCUGGGGCGUCUUCUCUGAAGAUGAGUCCACGCUGAGGGCCUGUGAGAGCUGAGCAGGGCACGGCAGAUGCACAGUGUGCACUGGGGCUUUGUGGCUUCUGAGUCCCCUGGCUGACCUCCAGGGCCGCAUGAAUCAUCACAGGCCCAGCAUCAGAGGUGGGAUUGCUGUAAAAUGCAAUUUAUUUCCUCCUCCUGUACACCAAGUACUGCAAUAUAUACAAACUUCUAAGUAAAUGAUUUAGGAUGCACAGCUAUAAAUUUCAGUCACACACACUCUAACAGAUUUUUUAAAACAACAACAACAACAGAAAAAAAUCACAUAUUGUUCUCAUGUACUCUUGAGUUGCUUUAUAGGACUCCCUCUGUUCGUGACUGUUUCUGUUAUUGUUGGAAGAAUAAACCUUCUCAAAAUAGAUCAUCGUAAGGAUGGAAGCUGUCCAGUGACCACUUAAAUAGAAGUUUGCUGCCAGAACCAGUUUAUUUCAGCCGUGAUCACGAAGAGUCUUGUGUGCACUUAUUUGUUCGUUCUUCAAUCAAUGCUGUCUGUAAUACUGAGACACUCUGCUAGUGUCGUUAACGUUAUCCGAUGUUUUUCCAAAGCAAAGUAGAUAAACACAUAA